AUCAACUCAACCUAAAAACUAAAUUGAUUUUCGUUUUCCUCUUCAUUUCAUUUUCGUUUUCACUUCAUACUUCUCCUCUCUACACAGAAACCUCCGAGAACCCUAGAUUGAAAAUCCAGUUCACUCUCACAUCAAAGAUCGAAACUCACUGUCACAAAUCAUUCGUCGUCCUAACCGAAAUCGAAACGAAAUUAUCUGUACCUAGAUGGAAGUUACAGGGGGGCUAAAGCUUUUUCACCUGUAUUGCCUUCUGUGAGCUGUUUGGGGAUCUUAGUGCUUGAAGAAUAAGGUUAGAUGAAGGCCUAGUUAUUUGGUGAUCUGGUCCAUCCACUGAGUUACUGGGAUUGCAGGACAUCGAUUUGGCUCUGACUGUUUCUUUAGUUUGUUACAUACUGGUGGGUUGUCCUGAUGUUUUUCAUUUCUGAGUUACUUAACAGAUUGAUGCAGCUAUAAACCCCUGAUGUAAAGUUCACCUUCUUUCUUUUGUCGUUCAAAUCCUUGGCUGCUAAGAUUCUUGUGAUUGGUUGCAACAAUUUUUUGAAAGGGUAAUCUGAG